CCUACGUGUGUCAGCAGUGAGGAAUAUUGGUCAAUGGACGAAAGGCUGAACCAGCCAAGCCGCGUGCGGGAAGACGGCUCUAUUAGUUGUACACCGCUUUUGUACGAGUGUAAACCUGAUUACGUGUGUUCCGCUGAGAGUCCUGUACGAAUAAGCAUCGGCUAACUCCGUGCCAGCAGCCGCGGUAAUACGGAUGAUGCGAGCGUUAUCCGUAUUUAUUGGGUUUAAAGGGUGCGUAGGCGGAAUGAUAAGUUAGAGGUGAAAUGUCCGGGGUUAACUCCGGAACUGCCUCUGAUACUGCGGAGCUAGAGAGCAGGAGCGGUAUGCGGAAUGUAUGGUGUAGCGGUGAAAUGCAUAGAGAUCACACAGAACACCGAUUGCGAAGGCAGCUUACCAGUGUAUAUCUGACGUUGAGGCACGAAAGCGUGGGGAGCAAACAGGAUUAGAUACCCGAGUAGUC
rnacentral:rRNA from 1 species